rnacentral:rRNA from 1 species
GAAUAUUGGGCAAUGGAGGAAACUCUUACCCAGCAAUGCCGCGUGAAGGAAGAAGGUCUUCGGAUUGUAAACUUCUUUUAUAGGCGACGAAGAAUGCCGGUAGCCUAUGAAACAGCCCCGGCACACUAUGUGCCAGCAGCAGCGGUAAUACAUAGGGGGCGAGCGUUGGCCGGAAUGACUGGGCGUAAAGGGAGUGUAGGCGGUUAUGCAAGUUACAUGUGAAAGCCCAGGGCUUAACUCUGGAACUGCAUGUAAAACUGCAUAACUAGAGUGUGUGAGAGGGAAGUGGAAUUCCUAGUGUAGCUGUGGAAUGCGUAGAUAUUAGGAGGAACACCAGUGGCGAAGGCGGCUUUCUGGACCACAACUGACGCUGAGGCUCGAAAGCGUGGGGAGCAAACA